GCUCCUGACGGCAGCACAUGUAUGCUAAAACUGGACUGACACAGAGAAGAUUGACGUUACCCUUGGGCAAGGGUGACAUGCAAAUUCGUGAAGCCAUCCAUAUUUUU